UACGUAGGUGGCAAGCGUUGUUCGGAAUUACUGGGCGUAAAGCGCGUGUAGGCGGCUCUUCAAGUCAGACGUGAAAGCCCCGGGCUUAACUCGGGAACUGCGUUUGAUACUGUUGAGCUAGAGUGUGGAAGGGGCGAUUGGAAUUCCGUGUGUAGCGGUGAAAUGCGUAGAUAUACGGAGGAACACCAGAGGCGAAGGCGGAUCGCUGGGCCAACACUGACGCUGAGACGCGAAAGCUAGGGGAGCAAACAGG
rnacentral:rRNA from 1 species